AUACGGAAGGUCCGGGCGUUAUCCGGAUUUAUUGGGUUUAAAGGGAGCGCAGGCGGAGAUGCAAGCGUGACGUCAAAUUUCGGGGCUCAACCCCGUCUCGCGUCGCGAACUGCGUCCCUUGGUUGCGGGAAGGGGAGGCGGAACUCGUGGUGUAGCGGUGAAAUGCAUAGAUAUCACGAAGAACUCCGAUCGCGAAGGCAGCCUUCCGGCCCGUCAACGACGCUCAUGCUCGAAGGUGCGGGUAUCAAACAGGAUUAGAUACCCUGGUAGUCCGCACAGUAAACGAUGGACACCCGCGGUUUGGCCUGUAUGGCUGAGCCGCCAAGCGAAAGCGUUAAGUGUCCCACCUGGGGAGUACGCCGGCAACGGUGAGACUCAAAUGAAUUGACGGGG
rnacentral:rRNA from 1 species